rnacentral:tRNA from 1 species
GGGGUUGUAGCUCAGUGGUGGAGCCCUUGCCUCACACAUAUGAGGUACUGGGUUCAAUCCUCAGCACCACA